rnacentral:rRNA from 1 species
AUUGAACGCUGGCGGAAUGCUUUACACAUGCAAGUCGAACGGCAGCACGGACUUCGGUCUGGUGGCGAGUGGCGAACGGGUGAGUAAUGUAUCGGAACGUGCCCAGUCGUGGGGGAUAACGUAGUGAAAAUUACGCUAAUACCGCAUACGAUCUAUGGAUGAAAGCGGGGGAUCGCAAGACCUCGCGCGAUUGGAGCGGCCGAUAUCAGAUUAGGUAGUUGGGGGGGUAAAGGCCCACCAAGCCAACGAUCUGUAGCUGGUCUGAGAGGACGACCAGCCACACUGGAACGGAGACACGGUCCAGGCUCCUGCGGGAGGCAGCAGUGGGGAAUUUUGGACAAUGGGCGAAAGCCUGGACCAGCCAUUCCGCGUGCAGGAUGAAGGCCCUCGGGUUGUAAACUGCUUUUGUACAGAACGAAAAGGUUUCUACUAAUACUAGGAGCUCAUGACGGUACUGUAAGAAUAAGCACCGGCUAACUACGUGCCAGCAGCCGCCGUAA